UUUAUUUCCUAAUUGAGUAUAAGAGAUUGUUUAGAACUUUCUUAACUUUCACUCUAUUCUUACAAUUUACAUAGAUUAAAUUGAUCAUACAACUAUAAGUUAAUUUAGGAUCAAUUGCGUUCUAAAGCCAUAGUAUAAUUGCUCUAGCUUAGUUUGUCACUGCAUUACUUAUAAUUACCUAGAGCUUAAGUAAGUAACAUCUUAUUAUUCCGCUACAUUCAAUUUAAAGUAAAAAAUUAGGAAACACAAUUUUUAGAAAACCCAAUUCACCCCCCCUCUUGGGUUGUCAUCUUGGGCAACAAGUGGUAUCAGAGCAGGUGCUCUU
rnacentral:lncRNA from 1 species